rnacentral:rRNA from 1 species
GACAGAGGGGGCAAGCGUUGCUCGGAAUCACUGGGCGUAAAGGGCGCGUAGGCGGGCUGGCAAGUCAGUCGUGAAAUCUCUCGGCUCAACCGAGAAACGUCGGCUGAUACUGCCGUUCUUGAGGGAUGCAGAGGAGACUGGAAUUCCCGGUGUAGCGGUGAAAUGCGUAGAUAUCGUAAGGAAGACCAGUGGCGAAGGCGGGUCUCUGGACAGUUACUGACACUGAGGCACGAAGGCCAGGGGAGCAAACGGG